rnacentral:rRNA from 1 species
UACGUAGGGUGCGAGCGUUAAUCGGAAUUACUGGGCGUAAAGCGUGCGCAGGCGGUUUUGUAAGCCAGAUGUGAAAGCCCCGGGCUUAACCUGGGAAUGGCAUUUGGGACUGCAAGGCUUGAGUGCGGCAGAGGAGACUGGAAUUCCUGGUGUAGCAGUGAAAUGCGUAGAUAUCAGGAGGAAUACCGAUGGCGAAGGCAGGUCUCUGGGCUGACACUGACGCUCAUGCACGAAAGCGUGG